CCCUUAGAUGUUCUGGGCCGCACGCGUGCUACACUGAUGCAUUCAACGAGUCUAAAACCUGGUCUGAUAGGGCUGGGUAAUCUUUUGAAAGUGCAUCGUGAUUGGGAUAGAUGAUUGCAAUUCUUCAUCUUCAACGAGGAAUGCCUAGUAAACGCAAGUCAUCAGCUUGCAUUGAUUACGUCCCUGCCCUUUGUACACACCGCCCGUCGCUCCUACCGAUUGAAAGAUUUAGUGAGGACUUCGGACUGGGACCGAUGCGGCUUUCGGGCUGCGUCGGUAUUCUGGAAAGAUGUCCAAACUGUAUCAUUUAGAGGAAGUAAAAGUCGUANCA
rnacentral:rRNA from 1 species